rnacentral:rRNA from 1 species
GUGUCAGCAGCCGCGGUAAUACGGAGGAUCCAAGCGUUAUCCGGAUUUAUUGGGUUUAAAGGGUGCGUAGGCGGCGUUGUAAGUCAGUGGUGAAAGUUUGCAGCUUAACUGUAAAAUUGCCAUUGAUACUGCAGUGCUUGAGUACAGAUGAGGUGGGCGGAAUGUGUCAUGUAGCGGUGAAAUGCAUAGAUAUGACACAGAACACCGAUUGCGAAGGCAGCUCACUAAACUGUAACUGACGCUGAGGCACGAAAGCGUGGGGAUCAAACAGGAUUAGAUACCCGAGUAGUCC